AUUGAACGCUGGCGGCAUGCCUUACACAUGCAAGUCGAACGGUAACAGGUCUUCGGAUGCUGACGAGUGGCGAACGGGUGAGUAAUACAUCGGAACGUGCCCGAUCGUGGGGGAUAACGGAGCGAAAGCUUUGCUAAUACCGCAUACGAUCUACGGAUGAAAGCAGGGGACCGCAAGGCCUUGCGCGGACGGAGCGGCCGAUGGCAGAUUAGGUAGUUGGUGGGAUAAAAGCUUACCAAGCCGACGAUCUGUAGCUGGUCUGAGAGGACGACCAGCCACACUGGGACUGAGACACGGCCCAGACUCCUACGGGAGGCAGCAGUGGGGAAUUUUGGACAAUGGGCGCAAGCCUGAUCCAGCCAUGCCGCGUGCAGGAUGAAGGCCUUCGGGUUGUAAACUGCUUUUGUACGGAACGAAAAGACUCUGGUUAAUACCUGGGUCCAUGACGGUACCGUAAGAAUAAGACACCGGCUAACUACGUGCCAGCAGCCGCGGU
rnacentral:rRNA from 1 species